GACGAACGCUGGCGGCGUGCUUAACACAUGCAAGUCGAACGGAAAGGCCCUGCUUUUGUGGGGUGCUCGAGUGGCGAACGGGUGAGUAACACGUGAGUAACCUGCCCUUGACUUUGGGAUAACUUCAGGAAACUGGGGCUAAUACCGGAUAGGAGCUCCUGCUGCAUGGUGGGGGUUGGAAAGUUUCGGCGGUUGGGGAUGGACUCGCGGCUUAUCAGCUUGUUGGUGGGGUAGUGGCUUACCAAGGCUUUGACGGGUAGCCGGCCUGAGAGGGUGACCGGCCACAUUGGGACUGAGAUACGGCGCAGACGCCUACGGGAGGCAACAGUGGGGAAUAUUGCACAAUGGGCGGGAGCCUGAGGCAGCAACGCCGCGUGCGGGAUGACGGCCUUCGGGUUGUGAACCGCUUUCGCCUGUGACGAAGCGUGAGUGACGGUAAUGGGUAAAGAAGCACCGGCUAACUACGUG
rnacentral:rRNA from 1 species